AUGCACGCUGGCGGCGUGCCUAAUACAUGCAAGUCGAGCGAACAGACGAGGAGCUUGCUCCUCUGACGUUAGCGGCGGACGGGUGAGUAACACGUGGAUAACCUACCUAUAAGACUGGGAUAACUUCGGGAAACCGGAGCUAAUACCGGAUAAUAUAUUGAACCGCAUGGUUCAAUAGUGAAAGACGGUUUUGCUGUCACUUAUAGAUGGAUCCGCGCCGCAUUAGCUAGUUGGUAAGGUAACGGCUUACCAAGGCAACGAUGCGUAGCCGACCUGAGAGGGUGAUCGGCCACACUGGAACUGAGACACGGUCCAGACUCUUACGGGAGGCAGCAGUAGGGAAUCUUCCGCAAUGGGCGAAAGCCUGACGGAGCAACGCCGCGUGAGUGAUGAAGGUCUUCGGAUCGUAAAACUCUGUUAUUAGGGAAGAACAAAUGUGUAAGUAACUAUGCACGUCUUGACGGUACCUAAUCAGAAAGCCACGGCUAACUACGUG
rnacentral:rRNA from 1 species